AAUCUUGCGCAAUGGACGAAAGUCUGACGCAGCGACGCCGCGUGCGGGAGGAAGCUCUUCGGGGUGUAAACCGCUGUUGCCCGGAACGAAACGCCUUUUUCGAGAGGCUUGACGGUACCGGGUGAGGAAGCACCGGCUAACUCUGUGCCAGCAGCCGCGGUAAUACAGAGGGUGCGAGCGUUGUCCGGAAUCACUGGGCGUAAAGGGCGCGUAGGUGGCGGCAUAAGGCUGUGGUGAAAGUCUGGGGCUCAACUCCAGAUCGGCCGCGGCGACUGUGUCGCUUGGGCACCGUAGAGGCAGAUGGAAUUCCGGGUGUAGCGGUGGAAUGCGUAGAGAUCCGGAAGAACACCAGUGGCGAAGGCGGUCCGCUGGGCGGUGAGCUCGCGAGAGCUCAAUAGCCGACACUGAGGCGCGACAGCGUGGGGAGCAAAC
rnacentral:rRNA from 1 species